GCGGUUUGGGAUCAUUAUGCCAGCAUCCUUGAUAAAAUCGCAGUCCUCGGUCUAGGCAGGCAGCAUCAACGCAGGCUAUAACACUUCACCGAAGCAAAGUCACAUUCCUACGCCAUUAUCCUACCGCCCAAACCGAUGCUGGCCCGAUAAGCUGCGGGUCACCCCGCCACGAAGGCAAGGCUCACAAAAUAUCGAGUCUGAUCUCAAACCCUUCCCUUUCAACAAUUUCACGUACUUUUUCACUCUCUUUUCAAAGUUCUUUUCAUCUUUCCAUCACUGUACUUGUUCGCUAUCGGUCUCUCGCCAAUAUUUAGCUUUAGAUGGAAUUUACCACCCACUUAAAGCUGCAUUCCCAAACAACUCGACUCUUCGAAAGCACCUUACAUAGGAUUGGGCAUCUCAUCGCACGGGAUUCUCACCCUCUGUGACGUCCUGUUCCAAGAAACAUAGACAAGAGCCAACCCCAAGGUUACAAUCUUCAAAUUACAACUCGGACACCGAAGGUGCCAGAUUUCAAAUUUGAGCUUUUGCCGCUUCACUCGCCGCUACUAAGGCAAUCCCUGUUGGUUU
rnacentral:rRNA from 1 species